rnacentral:rRNA from 1 species
UACGUAGGGUGCAAGCGUUAAUCGGAAUUAUUGGGCGUAAAGAGCUCGUAGGCGGUCUGUCGCGUCGGCUGUGAAAUCCCGAGGCUCAACCUCGGGUCUGCAGUCGAUACGGGCAAACUAGAGUAUUGCAGGGGAGACUGGAAUUCCUGGUGUAGCGGUGAAAUGCGCAGAUAUCAGGAGGAACACCGGUGGCGAAGGCGGGUCUCUGGGCCGAUACUGACGCUGAGGAGCGAAAGCGUGGGGAGCGAACAGG